rnacentral:lncRNA from 1 species
UCAUUUUCUCCCCCAAUAAAUGCUGUGAAGUUCACUCGGACAAUUUAAGUUGCCAUCUUUGAACUUUAGUCCUUGUUACAAUGCGAUUCCAGAUCGUUAAUUUGUAUAGGACUCUAAAGACUUCGAUUUGGUUAACAGUAAAGCCACCCUUAGUAAAUCUCUCCCUAUUUCCCUCUCUCAGUCUCUAUUUCACUCUUUCUCAGCAAGAUUCAACAAUAAAAUUACCAUGCAAAUAAAAAAUCAAUGGCAGAAAUCCAAUAAUCAACAAGAAACCUAGGAUUCAAACAAAAUAGAAAUGACAUUAUCCAUAAAUCAUGAAGCAGGGUCAACUGAGAAAUCAAGCCAAAUAAACAAAUCAAUCAACAAACACCAAAUGAAAAAAAAAAUCAACAGUAGAAAAAUAAAAAGACAUACAACAGAAAUAAACAAAUUCAAGCACAAAUCGAUAAGAGGACAAAGUAGCAGAAGAGAGGAUAGCUGACACCAUUGCCUUAACCACCAUUUCGGUCAGUGACAAAUUCUAGGGGAGUACCAUGGAGCUCCUCAUUUGUGUGGAUCCAAGGGGAUAAUGUUUGAACCAAGCUUUCGAUUUAUUUCUCCAAGAGAGAUUCAGGUGAAACGGAGUGCAACUGGGAGCUGUUAGGGAUCACACAAGCUUGGGGAUGGGUCCCUAGAGCUUCAUCGGUGCUAGGUAGAGGGAGAAACUGGGGGGGAGCAAGAUUCAACAAUAAAAUUCCCAUGCAAAUAAAAAAUCAAUGGCAGAAAUCCAAUAUUCAACAAGAAACCUAGGAUUCAAACAAAAUAGAAAUGACAUUAUCCAUAAAUCAUGAAGCAGGGUCAACUGAGAAAUCAAGCCAAAUAAACAAAUCAAUCAACA